rnacentral:rRNA from 1 species
CGGCUGAACACGAAGGCCAACAUGCUUCGCAAGCACAUUGCACAGUCAGCCGCAUGCCCUCGCUGUCAAGACCCUCAUGAGGACGCGCUCUACCUCAUCUCCACCUGUUCUUAUGCUACACAAGUCUGGACCUCCCAGGGUCUGCAAGCUCCAACCUCUAUUGAUGAUCUGCUCCAACACCCACCGCUUCAAGGCCUCAACCCAAACAUAUGGCCAUCGGUCGCUCUGACUAUCUCUUGGAAACUAUGGGACUCAAGAAACGCCCUUGUUUUCAGAAACGAAGACCACUCUCACAGGACCACGCUACGCAACAUUGUCGCUGAUUUCUCCCUAUGGGUUUUUCGGUUCAAAAAGAAG